rnacentral:tRNA from 1 species
CAUGGUAGACGUAGUUUAUGUAAAACACUAGAUUGUGA